rnacentral:rRNA from 1 species
CUACGUGCCAGCAGCCGCGGUAAUACGUAUGUCACGAGCGUUAUCCGGAUUUAUUGGGCGUAAAGCGCGUCUAGGUGGUUAUAUAAGUCUGAUGUGAAAAUGCAGGGCUCAACUCUGUAUUGCGUUGGAAACUGUAUAACUAGAGUACUGGAGAGGUAAGCGGGACUACAAGUGUAGAGGUGAAAUUCGUAGAUAUUUGUAGGAAUGCCGAUGGGGAAGCCAGCUUACUGGACAGAUACUGACGCUGAAGCGCGAAAGCGUGGGUAGCAAACAGGAUUAGAUACCCUGGUAGUCCACGCUGUAAACGAUGAUUACUAGGUGUUGGGGGUCGAACCUCAGCGCCCAAGCAAACGCGAUAAGUAAUCCGCCUGGGGAGUACGUACGCAAGUAUGAAACUCAAAGGAAUUGACGGGGACCCGCACAAGCGGUGGAGCAUGUGGUUUAAUUCGACGCAACGCGAGGAACCUUACCAGCGUUUGACAUC